rnacentral:misc_RNA from 1 species
CAGGACAUCAUCCGUGCGCGCUGGCUGGACGAAGACAACAAGUCCACGUUGCAGGAACUGGCUGACCGUUACGGUGUUUCCGCUGAACGUGUGCGCCAACUGGAAAAGAACGCGAUGAAAAAAUUGCGUGCUGCUAUAGAAGCGUAAUUUCCGCUAUUAAGCAGAGAACCCUGGAUGAGAGUCCGGGGUUUUUGUUUUUUGGGCCUCU